rnacentral:lncRNA from 1 species
UCACUGCUACGGGGUGUGGGGUCACCAAUAUGGAAUAUAGGGAUGCGGCUAUGGGGCGUGGGGACCCUCUGAGCCUAUGGGGACCCCAAUAUGGGGUGUGGGGACAGCGCUAUGGGGUCACUGUCAUAGGACACGGGGACAGGGCUAUGGGGUGUGGGGUCACCAAUAUGGGACGCGGGGACACUGCUAUGGGGCGUGGGGACAGCAAUGGGGUGUGGGGACCCUCAGAGCCCAUGGGGUGUGGGGUCACUAAUUUGGGAUGUGAGAUCACUGCUAUGGGAUGUGGGGACGGCGCUAUGGGGUCACUGCUAUGGGACAUGGGGACAGGGCUAUGGGGUGCGGGGACAUCAAUGGGGUGUGGGAACAUCAAUGGGGUGUGGGGUCACUGCUAUGGGACAUGGGGACAGCACUAUGGGGCCUGGGGACAUCAAUGGGGUGUGGGGACUCUCUGAGGCCAUGGGGACCCCAAUAUGGGGUGUGGGGGCACCAAUAUGGGGUGUGGGGGCACCAAUAUGGGGUGUGAGAUCAUUGCUACGGGAUGUGGGGACAUCAAUGGGGCGUGGGGACGGCGCUAUGGGGUCACUGCUAUGGGACGUGGGGACAGGGCUAUGGGGUCACCAAUAUGGGAUGUGGGAUCACUGCUAUGGGGUGUGGGGACAUCAGUGGGGUUUCGGGAUGGCGCUAUGGGGUGUAGGGUCAGCAAUAUGGGGUCACUGCUAUGGGACAUGGGGACGCUGCUAUGGGGCGUGGGGACACCAAUGGGGUGCCGGGACAGCGCUAUGGGGUCACUGUUAUGGGACGUGGGGACAGGGCUAUGGGGUGUGGGA